rnacentral:rRNA from 1 species
UACGGAGGGUGCAAGCGUUAUCCGGAUUACUGGGCGUAAAGGGUGUGCAGGUGGUCUGUUAAGUUGGGUGUUAAAUCUCUUGGCUCAACUGGGAGGUGUCGCUCAAAACUAACAGACUGGAGGACGGUAGAGGAAGGUGGAAUUCCGGGUGUAGUGGUGAAAUGCGUAGAUAUCUGGAGGAACACCGAUGGCGAAGGCAGCCCCCUGGGCUAACACUGACGCUCAUGCACGAAAGCGUGGGGAGCAAACAGG